rnacentral:rRNA from 1 species
AUGAACGCUAGCGACAGGCUUAACACAUGCAAGUCGAGGGGCAGCACUGGUAGCAAUACCGGGUGGCGACCGGCGCACGGGUGAGUAACGCGUAUGCAACUUACCUAUCAGAGGGGGAUAACCCGGCGAAAGUCGGACUAAUACCGCAUGAAGCAGGGGCCCCGCAUGGGGAUAUUUGCUAAAGAUUCAUCGCUGAUAGAUAGGCAUGCGUUCCAUUAGGCAGUUGGCGGGGUAACGGCCCACCAAACCGACGAUGGAUAGGGGUUCUGAGAGGAAGGUCCCCCACAUUGGUACUGAGACACGGACCAAACUCCUACGGGAGGCAGCAGUGAGGAAUAUUGGUCAAUGGGCGUAAGCCUGAACCAGCCAAGUCGCGUGAGGGAUGAAGGUUCUAUGGAUCGUAAACCUCUUUUAUAAGGGAAUAAAGUGCGGGACGUGUCCCGUUUUGUAUGUACCUUAUGAAUAAGGAUCGGCUAACUCCGUGCCAGCAGCCGCGGUAAUACGGAGGAGCCGAGCGGUAUCCGGAUUUAUUGGGUUUAAAGGGUGCGUAGGCGGCCUUUUAAGUCAGCGGUGAAAGUCUGUGGCUCAACCAUAGAAUUGCCGUUGAAACUGGGGGGCUUGAGUAUGUUUGAGGCAGGCGGAAUGCGUGGUGUAGCGGUGAAAUGCUUAGAUAUCACGCAGAACCCCGAUUGCGAAGGCAGCCUGCCAAGCCAUGACUGACGCUGAUGCACGAAAGCGUGGGGAUCAAACAGGAUUAGAUACCCUGGUAGUCCACGCAGUAAACGAUGAUCACUAGCUGUUUGCGAUACAGUGUAAGCGGCACAGCGAAAGCGUUAAGUGAUCCACCUGGGGAGUACGCCGGCAACGGUGAAACUCAAAGGAAUUGACGGGGGCCCGCACAAGCGGAGGAACAUGUGGUUUAAUUCGAUGAUACGCGAGGAACCUUACCCGGGUUUGAACGCAUUCGGACCGAGGUGGAAACACCUUUUCUAGCAAUAGCCGUUUGCGAGGUGCUGCAUGGUUGUCGUCAGCUCGUGCCGUGAGGUGUCGGCUUAAGUGCCAUAACGAGCGCAACCCUUGCCACUAGUUACUAACAGGUGAUGCUGGGGACUCUGGUGGGACUGCCAGCGUAAGCUGCGAGGAAGGCGGGGAUGACGUCAAAUCAGCACGGCCCUUACAUCCGGGGCGACACACGUGUUACAAUGGCGUGGACAAAGGGAAGCCACCUGGCGACAGGGAGCGAAUCCCCAAACCACGUCUCAGUUCGGAUCGGAGUCUGCAACCCGACUCCGUGAAGCUGGAUUCGCUAGUAAUCGCGCAUCAGCCAUGGCGCGGUGAAUACGUUCCCGGGCCUUGUACACACCGCCCGUCAAGCCAUGGGAGCCGGGGGUACCUGAAGUCCGUAACCGAAAGGAUCGGCCUAGGGUAAAACUGGUGACUGGGGCU